ensembl:lncRNA
GUGACUAGGGAGAACCCGGAGCUUAGUGCUCUGUGGCGGCCUAACUGGGAAGGAAGUCUAAAGAAGAAGGGGACGCGUGUGUACCUGUAACUGACUUGCUGUACAGCAGAAACUGACAACAUUGUAAAGCAACUAUACUCCAAUAAAAAAAUACAGUGAUUUGUGUAAUGACUGAGCACUGGGCAGUCUGAAACUUGCAGGGUAAGCUGCAGACCCAGGGAAGAGUGGCUGCUGACCUUGGGCCUGAAGGCCAUCUCCUGGCAGAACCCCCUCUUCUUCAGGGGACCCCAGUCUUUUCCUCUUACGGCUUUCUAACUGAGUGAAGGAGGCCCACUCACAUCACGGAGGAUAAUCUACUUUGCUCAGAUUCUACCAGUUUAAAUGUUAAUCUCACCUGAAAACUAUCUUCAUGGCAGCAUCUAGACUGACUAUAUAACCAAAAUUAUCUGAGUACCGUGACCUCACCAAGCUGACACAUGAAAGUAACGGUCACAGGCGGUGGGCCUGGUACACAGAGAAGCCCUCUAAUGAGCUCUGUGGCGUCCUGACGCCUUUCUGGAGAGUAAGUGUCUCUGAGAAGCAUUCUCCUGCCACGUUUAUUGAGUACGUCAGUUACGUAAUGGGGGAAAUUCAGAUAACUGGACACCAACUAGGUUCUGGUGCAUUUGUAAAGUUUCAAAGAAGCAGAAACAAUCAUCAUUUUCCUUUUCUGGAUAAUGAAGCUGGCUUUGAAAUAUAUGAAUAUCAGAAGAGUGCCCUGAGGCAAAGAAGGUAUACCACUGUUUAAGGAAAGGAUCCAAUUUGGGAGCAAGAACUGUGCUUUCCGUUGGCAUACAGGAAGGACAGAAGUUAAUCACCUACAACAACUCUAAACUCCAGACCAGAGAUAGCACCAGAGGAGUCUACACAAUAAAGGGGCAACACUGACUGAAACCACCCACCUUGGCCAGGAAAGACAGUAGCCACUUGCACAAGGAUUCUUAACAGGAAGACCUGGGAAGGAAUGUGGAACUAACAAGCUACUACGGACUGGAAGAAUUCAGGAACAGUCCAAAGGAGACACCACGCGUCCUACCUACCAACUUCCCAGAAUCCUCCUGGCUGGAAUCCAUCUUGGCUGAGUGAUGGAUGCACCACCAGGCAGGACCCUGAAUCAGUGAUUGGCCAGAGACAAGCCAGAAGGUAACUCCAACACCGUAAAACCCAAGACCACGAGCCAGGGGGCAGAGCCAUUCUCCUGGGCUCUCCUU